rnacentral:rRNA from 1 species
UAAGGAAUAUUGGUCAAUGGACGCAAGUCUGAACCAGCCAUGCCGCGUGGAGGAUUAAGGCCCUCUGGGUUGUAAACUCCUUUUAUCUGGGAAGAAAUGUACUUUUUCUUGAGUACUUGACGGUACCAGAGGAAUAAGCACCGGCUAACUCCGUGCCAGCAGCCGCGGUAAUACGGAGGGUGCAAGCGUUAUCCGGAUUCACUGGGUUUAAAGGGUGCGUAGGCGGGCAGGUAAGUCAGUGGUGAAAUCUCCGAGCUUAACUCGGAAACUGCCAUUGAUACUAUUUGUCUUGAAUAUUGUGGAGGUAAGCGGAAUAUGUCAUGUAGCGGUGAAAUGCUUAGAUAUGACAUAGAACACCAAUUGCGAAGGCAGCUUACUACACAAUUAUUGACGCUGAGGCACGAAAGCGUGGGGAUCAAACAGG